AUGAACGCUAGCUACAGGCUUAACACAUGCAAGUCGAGGGGCAGCAUGGUCUUAGCUUGCUAAGGCCGAUGGCGACCGGCGCACGGGUGAGUAACACGUAUCCAACCUGCCGUCUACUCUUGGACAGCCUUCUGAAAGGAAGAUUAAUACAAGAUGGCAUCAUGAGUCCGCAUGUUCACAUGAUUAAAGGUAUUCCGGUAGACGAUGGGGAUGCGUUCCAUUAGAUAGUAGGCGGGGUAACGGCCCACCUAGUCUUCGAUGGAUAGGGGUUCUGAGAGGAAGGUCCCCCACAUUGGAACUGAGACACGGUCCAAACUCCUACGGGAGGCAGCAGUGAGGAAUAUUGGUCAAUGGGCGAGAGCCUGAACCAGCCAAGUAGCGUGAAGGAUGACUGCCCUAUGGGUUGUAAACUUCUUUUAUAAAGGAAUAAAGUCGGGUAUGCAUACCCGUUUGCAUGUACUUUAUGAAUAAGGAUCGGCUAACUCCGUGCCAGCAGCCGCGGUAAUACGGAGGAUCCGAGCGUUAUCCGGAUUUAUUGGGUUUAAAGGGAGCGUAGAUGGAUGUUUAAGUCAGUUGUGAAAGUUUGCGGCUCAACCGUAAAAUUGCAGUUGAUACUGGAUAUCUUGAGUGCAGUUGAGGCAGGCGGAAUUCGUGGUGUAGCGGUGAAAUGCUUAGAUAUCACGAAGAACUCCGAUUGCGAAGGCAGCCUGCUAAGCUGCAACUGACAUUGAGGCUCGAAAGUGUGGGUAUCAAACAGGAUUAGAUACCCUGGUAGUCCACACGGUAAACGAUGAAUACUCGCUGUUUGCGAUAUACGGCAAGCGGCCAAGCGAAAGCGUUAAGUAUUCCACCUGGGGAGUACGCCGGCAACGGUGAAACUCAAAGGAAUUGACGGGGGCCCGCACAAGCAGUGGAGUAUGUGGUUUAAUUCGAAGCAACGCGAAGAACCUUACCAGGUCUUGACAUCCCGAUGGCCGGCCCGUAACGGGGCUUUCUCUUCGGAGCAUUGGAGACAGGUGGUGCAUGGUUGUCGUCAGCUCGUGUCGUGAGAUGUUGGGUUAAGUCCCGCAACGAGCGCAACCCCUGUACUUAGUUGCCAGCAUGUAGAGAUGGGAACUCUAAGUAGACUGCCGCGAAUAACGCGGAGGAAGGUGGGGAUGACGUCAAAUCAUCAUGCCCUUUAUGUCUUGGGCUACACACGUACUACAAUGGCGUUAAACAAAGAGAAGCAAGACCGCGAGGUGGAGCAAAACUCAGAAACAACGUCCCAGUUCGGACUGCAGGCUGCAACUCGCCUGCACGAAGUCGGAAUUGCUAGUAAUCGUGGAUCAGCAUGCCACGGUGAAUACGUUCCCGGGCCUUGUACACACCGCCCGUCACACCAUGAGAGCCGGGGGGACCCGAAGUCGGUAGUCUAACCGCAAGGAGGACGCCGCCGAAGGUAAAACUGGUGAUUGGGGUG
rnacentral:rRNA from 1 species